rnacentral:rRNA from 1 species
UAAUACCGGAUGCUUGUUUGAACCGCAUGGUUCAAACAUAAAAGGUGGCUUCGGCUACCACUUACAGAUGGACCCGCGGCGCAUUAGCUAGUUGGUGAGGUAAUGGCUCACCAAGGCAACGAUGCGUAGCCGACCUGAGAGGGUGAUCGGCCACACUGGGACUGAGACACGGCCCAGACUCCUACGGGAGGCAGCAGUAGGGAAUCUUCCGCAAUGGACGAAAGUCUGACGGAGCAACGCCGCGUGAGUGAUGAAGGUUUUCGGAUCGUAAAGCUCUGUUGUUAGGGAAGAACAAGUACCGUUCGAAUAGGGCGGUACCUUGACGGUACCUAACCAGAAAGCCACGGCUAACUACGUGCCAGCAGCCGCGGUAAUACGUAGGUGGCAAGCGUUGUCCGGAAUUAUUGGGCGUAAAGGGCUCGCAGGCGGUUUCUUAAGUCUGAUGUGAAAGCCCCCGGCUCAACCGGGGAGGGUCAUUGGAAACUGGGGAACUUGAGUGCAGAAGAGGAGAGUGGAAUUCCACGUGUAGCGGUGAAAUGCGUAGAGAUGUGGAGGAACACCAGUGGCGAAGGCGACUCUCUGGUCUGUAACUGACGCUGAGGAGCGAAAGCGUGGGGAGCGAACAGGAUUAGAUACCCUGGUAGUCCACGCCGUAAACGAUGAGUGCUAAGUGUUAGGGGGUUUCCGCCCCUUAGUGCUGCAGCUAACGCAUUAAGCACUCCG